UACGAAGGGGGCUAGCGUUGUUCGGAAUUACUGGGCGUAACGCGAACGUAGGCGGUGUUCCAUGUCAGAGGUGAAAGCCUGGGGCUCAACUCCAGAAUUGCCUUUGAAACGGGAACGCUUGAGUCCGAGAGAGGAUGGCGGAAUUCCUAGUGUAGAGGUGAAAUUCGUAGAUAUUAGGAAGAACACCAGUGGCGAAGGCGGCCAUCUGGCUCGGUACUGACGCUCAGGUUCGAAAGCGUGGGGAGCAAACAGG
rnacentral:rRNA from 1 species